rnacentral:pre_miRNA from 1 species
AAGGUACUCCCUCCGUCCCAAAAUUCUUGUUUUAGAUUUGUCUAAAUACGGAUGUAUCAAGUCAUGUUUUAGUAUUAGAUACACCCGUAUCUAGACAAAUCUAGGACAAGAAUUUUGGGACGGAGGGAGUAAUUA